GUGAGUAACAUUUAGGAAUCUACCUAGUAGUGGGGGAUAGCUCGGGGAAACCCGAAUUAAUACCGCAUACGACCUACGGGUGAAAGGGGGCGCAAGCUCUUGCUAUUAGAUGAGCCUAAAUCAGAUUAGCUAGUUGGUGGGGUAAAGGCCCACCAAGGCGACGAUCUGUAACUGGUCUGAGAGGAUGAUCAGUCACACCGGAACUGAGACACGGUCCGGACUCCUACGGGAGGCAGCAGUGGGGAAUAUUGGACAAUGGGGGCAACCCUGAUCCAGCCAUGCCGCGUGUGUGAAGAAGGCCUUUUGGUUGUAAAGCACUUUAAGCAGGGAGGAGAGGCUAAUGGUUAAUACCCAUUAGAUUAGACGUUACCUGCAGAAUAAGCACCGGCUAACUCUGUGCCAGCAGCCGCGGUAAUACAGAGGGUGCGAGCGUUAAUCGGAAUUACUGGGCGUAAAGCGAGUGUAGGUGGCUCAUUAAGUCACAUGUGAAAUCCCCGGGCUUAACCUGGGAACUGCAUGUGAUACUGGUGGUGCUAGAAUAUGUGAGAGGGAAGUAGAAUUCCAGGUGUAGCGGUGAAAUGCGUAGA
rnacentral:rRNA from 1 species